ACCUGGUUGAUCCUGCCAGUGAUUAUAUGCUCGUCUCAAGGAUUGAGCCAUGCAUAUGUAAGUUCACAUCUAUAUACGAUGAAACAGCGAAGCGCUCAUUAAAUCAGUUAUUGUCUGUUCGAUGGUAUAAGCCGUGGAUAACUAUGGCAAGCUAUAGCUAAUACAUGUACGAACCAACAUCAGCAAUGGUGUUGGGGCAUUUAUUAGUUUAAAACCAAUCAAGACGGUAACGUCUUGAAGUUGAACCUGAAUAACUAUGCAAACCGAGUGUGUAUACAUUUGGUAAUUCGAUUGAAUUUCUGCCCUAUCAACUUGUUGUUGGGGUAGUGGCCCAACAAGGUUUUGACGGGUAACGGGGAAUCAGGGUUCGAUUCCGGAGAGGGAGCCUGAGAAACGGCUACCACAUCCAAGGAAGGCAGCAGGCGCGAAAAUUACCCAAUCCGGUCAUCGGGAGGUAGCGACGAGAAAUACUAAACUUAGAAAAUCUAGGUAUAUGAAUGGAGUCAAUAUAGAAACUUGACUGAAAACUACUGGAGGGCAAGUCUGGUGCCAGCAGCCGCGGUAAUUCCAGCUCCAGUAGUGUAUAUCAAAAUUGUUGCGGUUAAAACGCUCGUAGUUGGAUGACAAAAAUUUGUGACACUUGAUACUUUUGAUAGUAGCUUGUGGAACAGAUUUUUUUAUUGCAAAUUCCUGCAGUUGCUUAACUGUCAACUGUAGGUCAUUUGCAAAGCGUGCCUUGAAUAAAGCAGAGUGCUCAAAUCAAGCGUAACGCUAGAAUGUAAUAGCAUGGACGAACAGCCAGAUUUCUGGUUCAGUUGGUUGGUGACACCGGCAGUUGGUACUUUCAUUCGUACAUGUUGUCAGUGGUUAGGUAAUUGUGAAUUAAAAACUCCUCUACCUGAUCAUUAGAUGGCCUCUGUGUGUUUGGAAACCAAUUGUUAGGAUCUGAACCGGGUCAUGAUUAAAAGGGGCAUUUGAGGGCGUUAGUAUUUGGUGGCGAGAGGUGAAAUUUAGUAACCCACCAAGGACUAGCUAAUGCGAAGGCGUUCGCCAAGAAUGUUUUCAUUAAUCAAGAACGAAAGUUGGAGGUUCGAAGACGAUCAGAUACCGUCGUAGUUCCAUGCAGUAAACUAUGCCAUCACGGGAUCAGCUCGUGAAAUACAUACUAGUUGGUCUCCCAGGGAAACCUUAAGAUUUCGGGUUCCGGGGAGAGUACGGUCGCAAGUCUGAAAUUUAAAGGAAUUGACGGAAGGACACCACCAGGAGUGGAGCCUGCGGCUUAAUUUGACUCAACACGGGGCAACUCACCAGGUCCGGACAUUGAAAGGAAUGACAGACUGAUAGAUCUUUCAUGAUACAAUGAUUGGUGGUGCAUGGCCGUUCUUAGUUGGUGGAGCGAUCUGUCAGGUCUAUUCCGGUAACGAGCGAGACCACGAUCUCUAAUUUAUCGCUUUGUCCAUUCCAACUUUACUCUUUGUAUUGCGCUUUAUUGUUCUUUGCUGACUGCCAGCUAGGUGAAAACCUGGUUUGGUAGAAGGUGAUGUAGCAGUGAGGUGUGAUACAGGAUGUUAAAGUCGGACAGAGAUAAUAGAGAGACUACCGUGCGAUUUUAAAAGCCGGGGGAAGCGUGGCAAUAACAGGUCUGUGAUGCCCUUCGAUGUUCUGGGCUGCACGCGCGCUACAAUGGCAGUGACACAAAGUUACUGCUCCGAGAGGAGUGGUGAAACCAAAAUCGCUGUCGUAAAUGGGACUGAGCCUUGUAAUAAUUGCUCACGAAAGAGGAAUUCCUCGUAAGCGUGAGUCAUCAACUUGCGUUGAAUACGUCUCUGUCCUUUGUACACACCGCCCGUCGCUACUACUAAUUGAAUUGGGUUUCGAAAAGUAGGGAUUUGUUUAGAUUUCGGUCUAGAUAAAGAACCACUUUCAGAAAUUCAUUUGAAAAGAAGUAAAAGUCGUAACAAGGUUUCCGUAGGUGAACCAGCGGAAG
rnacentral:rRNA from 1 species